GACGAACGCUGGCGGCGUGCUUAACACAUGCCAGUCGAACGGAAAGGCCCUGCUUGCAGGGUACUCGAGUGGCGAACGGGUGAGUAACACGUGGGUGAUCUGCCCUGCACUUCGGGAUAAGCUUGGGAAACUGGGUCUAAUACCGGAUAGGAACCAUCUUUAGUGUGGUGGUUGGAAAGUUUUUUCGGUGUAGGAUGAGCUCGCGGCCUAUCAGCUUGUUGGUGGGGUAAUGGCCUACCAAGGCGGCGACGGGUAGCCGGCCUGAGAGGGUGUACGGCCACAUUGGGACUGGGAUACGGCCCAGACUCCUACGGGAGGCAGCAGUGGGGAAUAUUGCACAAUGGGCGCAAGCCUGAUGCAGCGACGCCGCGUGGGGGAUGAAGGCCUUCGGGUUAUAAACUCCUUUCGCUAGGGACGAAGCUUUUUGUGACGGUACCUAGAUAAGAAGCACCGGCUAACUACGUG
rnacentral:rRNA from 1 species